rnacentral:rRNA from 1 species
CCGCGUGAGGGAGGAAGGCUCUUGGGUUGUAAACCUCUUUUCUCAGGGAAGAAGCUCUGACGGUACCUGAGGAAUCAGCCUCGGCUAACUCCGUGCCAGCAGCCGCGGUAAUACGGAGGAGGCAAGCGUUAUCCGGAAUUAUUGGGCGUAAAGCGUCCGCAGGUGGCGAUUCAAGUCUGCUGUCAAAGCACGGGGCUUAACUCCGUUAAGGCAGUGGAAACUGAAUAGCUAGAGUGCCGUAGGGGUAGAGGGAAUUCCCGGUGUAGCGGUGAAAUGCGUAGAGAUCGGGAAGAACAUCGGUGGCGAAAGCGCUCUACUGGACGGCAACUGACACUCAGGGACGAAAGCUAGGGGAGCGAAUGGGAUUAGAUACCCCAGUAGUC